GAGCGGUGCCCGAGGAACAUACAACAUGGAACCGUACAGCACAGGAACAGGCCCUUAGGCCCAUAAUGUUCGUGCCCAACAUGAUGACAAGUUGAACCGAUC